rnacentral:lncRNA from 1 species
UUCACAACAUUUAUCGCAUAUCCUUACACCCUUGCUGGAGAGAAGCCGACGCCGCCGAAGAUCGGAAACAACACUCACCGCAUCUCGCUUGAACCGCCAACACCUUCGUCGGAGUCGGAGAACCCUCAUACCCACUCUCGACACCACCAUCUCACUUCUCCGUUUUGAUAACAAGUCGCCGGAAAGAUCAAGACGUGCUGGAUGAUCGAAGAAGACGACCGGAAAAUAGUCGCGAGUUCACGUCGAUGGCCGUUUCGGAUGAGGAAGUCAAGAUUUGAAGAAAUGAAUAGGAUGGCCUAG